rnacentral:rRNA from 1 species
UACAGAGGAUGCAAGCGUUAAUCGGAUUCACUGGGCGUAAAGCGUGCGUAGGUGGUGAGUUAAGUCUGUCGUGAAAGCCCCGGGCUCAACCUGGGAAUGGCGAUGGAUACUGGCUCGCUAGAGUGCGGUAGAGGAGAGUGGAAUUCCCGGUGUAGCAGUGAAAUGCGUAGAGAUCGGGAGGAACAUCAGUUGCGAAGGCGGCUCUCUGGACCAGCACUGACACUGAGGCACGAAAGCGUGGGGAGCAAACAGG